ACAACGGCCGGAUACAACUAGCCAUCAUAAGAACUGUAUUUGAAUCAAUUUGGUCUAGGUAGACAUGUUUCAACUAUUACCAAGAGUAAUGGAUUUAUUUUUUAAUGAAUGGUGCAUCUCUCUUUAUUUUUUGUUUUGUUUUUAAUAUGUCUUCCAUCUAACAUGAUAGCACACAAUAUAUCUUUGAUGUCUCUUUUUGCGAAUCUGGUUGUGCUAGAUUCUUAUCCACUUCUAAACGGAACCAAGCGACAUCAAGUAUAUAUUAUCUCAUAAUUCUAAAUGAAUUGUUUUCUACAUCAAUCCUUUGAUUAACGUUAGGAGGAAAACUCAAAGAAAUAGGAAAGAAAAUAUCUUUCAGGUUUAUAUGAUAAGUAUUUGGCUUCUUCCGUUACAGCGUCAACACUCUAAAACUUUUUUGCAGGUUAACAGUGACGAAAAUAAUAUUGAGAGACAACACUGCUUCUUUAUUUCUCCUUCCAUCCCAUUUAUUAUGUUCCUUAGGCGCACAUUAGCCAUGAAAAGAUAAGAAUAUUUUAUUCAGUUCAAAUUCAAUCAUUGUUUAUGCAAUAAUUUUUUAAAAUUAGACUAUGACCGGGAAUAUCAGAAGCUUUGUUGAGUAAACUAUAAGUUUCUUCAAGAAAUGGCUUACUCUAUUGUUAAAUCGGCUGUACUUAGUCUGCCAUCGUUCUCAAAAUUUCGACUACUCCAUCAAAUUCCCACCUUGAAAGACUAUCGCAUUUUCAAGUUCUGAAAAUUUGCUUGGAAAUGAUGUUAUUGUGGGAGGCAAUUUGUUUAAUUGAUUUUUGUUCAUUGAACUUUGCCUUUUACUUUGAUUAUCGUCAUGCGUAUAUUCUGGUUAAUGAUGUAUUAUCAAAAUGUUUACGUUUUUAAAUUCUGGCUUUAAUUUUAUUGUGUCGUUUCUAAACUUUAGUGCGUUAUGUGACAAUCUCGUGUUUAAUUUGUAUGAUCUCCGUUCUUUGGUAGCAACAUUUUUAAUAUAAUAAAGGUAACAAUUUAUGUCCAGUUUACUCCCUUUUAUUUCUUUUCUGAUUGCGUACUUUGAUGGUAUAAAUAAUUUUCAUCUGAUGGGAUGAAUACUUGUAUUUCAUGAAUAGGAUAUUUUUCGAGUGCGUCUCUAUUAACAGUAGGGUCGGCAUCUUGCAAAAAAAGGAUGUACUAUGGAUUUUGAUGUGGAAAAGUUUCAAAAUUUUCCUUUCAGUAGUAUUCAGUUUACAUCUUGAAAAUAGCUGUACAGGAGGUCUUUAGUAAAUGAAAAGUUAAAGUUCCUAUUAAUAUAACAGUUACUUUAAUUUCAGCAGCUCUUGAGUAGAUGGUCAUUGUUUUUCUUCUUAUUAAGGUGGUUUCAUGACCUACCUACAAAGUUUACCCAAUAUUGCCAAUUGCAAGUUCUAUCUUUACUUUGCUUGAGGUUGCACCAUGUUCUUGGCAAGGAAAGAACCGAUAUUAUUGGGAUUUAAUAUGCUUUAAUUAGAAGUUGAGAUUUUAUCUUGACUCCUAAUCGUUGCUCUUCAACAAGAACACAUGACUGCUUUCUUAUUCCUCCUUUCAAUUUUUUAUUUUUUAUUUUAUUUUUUUAUUUUUUUUGUGUUUGAAUUGAGUUGAUAUAUUUAAAUCUUCUAUUUAGGAUUUAUAUUUACCUGUACGUUGCCUCUCGCUAAUUUCCUCCUUUCCUCGGUUGUUUGUUUAUUCGAAACAAAUUCCCCCCUCUCCAGGCUUUUUUCGGGGCUUAUUAUUAUGUUUUUGUAUAAAGCUUAGUUUAUCGUGUAUUGAUAUUCUUGCUCUUAAUACUAUUGACAUCUUUAUGUGAUGCCGGAGUCUAUGCAGGGAUGAGAAUGAACUAUGAUCAUGGAGUUUAAUUACUUCCCCUCUUAAUAUUACAAUAGCAAUACUGCUGAAGGUCGAGUAAUUUGGGCUAAAAUGAUGUAUAGAUAAUGAUCCCCACAAAGUCAUCAUUGAAAUUGAUUCUCCACGAUGGCAUUUGAGGGAGAUUAUUCGUAGAUUCAAGACCUAUUGAUAUGACUAACUGUACAAUACAGUGUUGUUAUAGAGAAGCAAAUCAGUAGUUGACGCUUUUGCCCAAUAGAGUAUUGACAACUCGAGUCUUAUUCUCCAUUCCAACGAUAAUCUGCCUCAAAAGGCUAGGAGCUUAUAUAGACUUGAUUUAUUUUAGAUGACCUUUUUCCAACAUAUGCACAAGACUUACAGUUUUUUGUGAGCUUUCUCCUUCUGUGUAAUCUUUCUCUGUUGUAAGUGGCAGGCAUAAUCUUUGUAUUUUCGCCAACUUUAGGUAGGCUUAAUCUUUA